GGUUUGAUUCUGGCUCAGAUUGAACGCUGGCGGGAUGCUUUACACAUGCAAGUCGAAACGGCGGCACGGACUUCGGUCUGGUGGCGAGUGGCGAACGGGUGAGUAAUGUAUCGGAACGUGCUCAGUAGCGGGGGAUAACUACGCGAAAGCGUAGCUAAUACCGCAUACGCCCUUCGGGGAAAGCGGGGGACCUUCGGGCCUCGCACUAUUAGAGCGGCCGAUAUCGGAUUAGCUAGUUGGUGGGGUAACGGCUCACCAAGGCGACGAUCCGUAGCUGGUUUGAGAGGACGACCAGCCACACUGGGACUGAGACACGGCCCAGACUUCUACGGGAGGCAGCAGUGGGGAAUCUUUGGACAAUGGGGGAAACCCUGAUCCAGCCAUCCUGCGUGUGCGAUGAAGGCCUUCGGGUUGUAAAGCACUUUGGCAGGAAAGAAACGGCACGGGAUAAUACCCCGUGCAACUGGACGGUGUCUAAGAAUAAGCACCGGCUAACUACGUGCCAGCAGCCGCGGUAAUACGUAGGGUAAGCGUUAAUCGGAAUUACUGGGCGUAAAAGCGUGCGCAGGCGGUUCGGAAAGAAAGGAUGUGAAAUCCCAGAGCUUAACUUUGGAACUGCAUUUUUAACUACCGAGCUAGAGUGUGUCAGAGGGAGGUGGAAUUCCGCGUGUAGCAGUGAAAUGCGUAGAUAUGCGGAGGAACACCGAUGGCGAAGGCAGCCUCCUGGGAUAACACUGACGCUCAUGCACGAAAGCGUGGGGAGCAAACAGGAUUAGAUACCUCUGGUAGUCCACGCCCUAAACGAUGUCAACUAGCUGUUGGGGCCUUCGGGCCUUGGUAGCGCAGCUAACGCGUGAAGUUGACCGCCUGGGGAGUACGGUCGCAAGAUUAAAACUCAAAGGAAUUGACGGGGACCCGCACAAGCGGUGGAUGAUGUGGACUAAUUCGAUGCAACGCGAAAAACCUUACCUACCCUUGACAUGUCUGGAAUCCCGAAGAGAUUUGGGAGUGCUCGCAAGAGAACCGGAACACAGGUGCUGCAUGGCUGUCGUCAGCUCGUGUCGUGAGAUGUUGGGUUAAGUCCCGCAACGAGCGCAACCCUUGUCAUUAGUUGCUACGAAAGGGCACUCUAAUGAGACUGGGCCGGUGACAAACCGGAGGAAGGUGGAUGACGUCAAGUCCUCAUGGCCCUUAUGGGUAGGGCUGGCCACACGUCAUACAAUGGUCGGGACAGAGGGUCGCCAACCCGCGAGGGGGAGAGCCAAUCCCAGAAACCCGAUCGUAGUCCGGAUCGCAGUCUGCAACUCGACUGCAGAAGUCGGAAUCGCUAGUAAUCGCGGAUCAGCAUGUCGCGGUGAAUACGUUCCCGGGUCUUGUACACACCGCCCGUCACACCAUGGGAGUGGGUUUUACCAGAAGUAGUUAGCCUAACCGUAAGGAGGGCGAUUACCACGGUAGGAUUCAUGACUGGGGUGAAGUCGUAACAAGGU
rnacentral:rRNA from 1 species